rnacentral:rRNA from 1 species
CCUUCGGGUCUAGUGGCGCACGGGUGCGUAACGCGUGGGAACCUGCCCUUAGGUUCGGAAUAACAGUUAGAAAUGACUGCUAAUACCGGAUAAUGUCUUCGGACCAAAGAUUUAUCGCCUUUGGAUGGGCCCGCGUAAGAUUAGGUAGUUGGUGGGGUAAUGGCCUACCAAGCCGACGAUCUUUAGCUGGUCUGAGAGGAUGAUCAGCCACACUGGGACUGAGACACGGCCCAGACUCC